ACAUCAUCGCUCAUCUUUCCAUUGCCGGUUCCCUGACUAGAAUGUGAGUUUUGUUUGGUCCCUCCUGUGUCCCCAGAACUCAGCACUGUGUACUCGAUACAUCACUGUGCUGUAGGAAUGGAUGCUGGAAUGUUCUGCCACUGUGGAAAGGAAUGAGGAAGCUGACUCUGCACUGAUAGACAAUGAUUUCCGGGUUUUGUCGUCAUGUGGAAACAAAGCAAAGUACAAGAAUCUACAGCAUGCCAUAUUUUGUGUAAGAAAGAAGAAGAAAUAAGAAAAUGUUUGGGCUGGGUGUGGUGGCUCACACCUGUAAUCCCAGAAUUUUGGGAGGCAGAAGCGGGCAGAUCACCUGAGGUGAGAAGUUCGAGACAAGCCUGGCCAACGUGGCAAAGCCCCAUCUCUACUAAAAAUACAAAAAUUAGCUGGGAAUGGUGGCAGAUGCCUGUAAUCCCAGCUACUCAGGAGGCUGAGGCAGGAGAAUCACCUGAACCCGGGAGGUGGAGGUUGCAGUGAGCCAAGACCUAACCACUGCACUCCAGCCCAGGCUACAGAAUGAGACUUCAUCUCAAAAAAGAAAAAAAGAAAAUGUCUGUGGACUUGUCCAUUUUCGCAAAAGUAAGCAGAGGAAAGAAAAGGCAGAAAUUGAUGCAACGAGCCACGUAAUAAUGGGAGUUGCAGUCAGGGGGCAAUGGGGACAGGGAGAGUUGGGACGCUUUUCUGAGUGCCCCAUUUUGCAGAGUGUUGACCUUCAGGAACAUGUUAAUGUUCUACAUACUGAAAACAAGAAAAAGUCAACAAAGAUCAGGGUGGCAGGAGCCCUAAAUGGAAUGUAAACUGAAACAAGUGAACCUACCUGUAUUUCAAAUGAAUAAAGUAACCACAUUAAAGGGUAGUGGAGGAAGAGAACGACUCCAGAUAACUUUGAACGUAACACUUCCAUCAUAUAUACUCGGGCUAAACACAAAAGAACUGCAUCCAGUACUGAACUCUACCUAGAAGCCUUACUUUUUGUUUUUACAGUGACAUGGGCUGGAAAUUCUGAAAUGAACUUCCCUGUAUUGCUCAGUGUUGGAGAAGAGAUUUACAAGUAUGAAAAGGGAGAAUAUUAGAAUGAAUUCUAAUAUGUGGUGGCAGGGCACGGUGGCUCACACCUGUAAUCCCAGCAACUCUGGGAAGCCAAGGCAGGCAGAUCACCUGAGGUCAGGAGUUUGAGACCAGUCUAGCCAACAUGGUGAAACCCCAUCUCUGCUGAAAAUACAAAAAUUAGCCAGGUGUGGUGGCACAUGCCUGUAAUUCCAGCAGAGGUUGCAGUGAGCUGAGAUGGCGCCACUGCACUCCAGCCUGGGUGACAAGAGUGAAACUCCGUCUCAAAAAAAAAAAGAAUGAAUUCUGUGGUGCUGGAUUGAAAUUGUUUUAUAGAUAAUCAGUAGAAUAGACAGAAAAAUUUAAGUUGGCAUAUACAUGUAUAUGUGUGUGUAUGUAUUUUAUAUAUACAUAAUAUAUUAUAUAUGUAUUUUUUAUAUAUAUAUAUAUAUUUGUACUUAUACAUCUUGGUGUGUAUGUGGGUGUGUUUCUUGGUUCUGUCUGCUGCAGAGGCCUAGUAGCACUCCAGUAGCAAUGACUGCUCCUAGGACUCAGAUCGUGGUUUCUAAAAACCAUCCCCCAGUAAAAGGAAUCAAGGCUCCUUGGAGAAAUGGCCAUUUCCAGGAUACUGCAAGGGAAGUACAAGAUGAACCAGGGCAUCUGGUUGUGGCUUACUGCUCCUUGAGUAAGCAAGGAAGUGCUAAAAUAUGACAGGGAUAUCACGAAGGUCACAAAUGAGCCACCUUGAAAAAGUGCCCACUGGCCAAACUGGACUAAUUUGAGCAUCAAAAUAAUGAUUGUUAACAGAGUAUUCAUGGAAUCAAGUAAAUCCAUGCCUAUAUACAUUGAGAAAUGAAUAAACAAAUGGGAGAGAAGAGAAAGCUCUUCCACACAGCUGACUGCCAGCUAAUAAUCAAGGAGGGAGUGGAGUUACAAAAUUUCCAUUUUACAACUAUCAUAGCAAUCUCUUUGUAACUAUCAUAGGGAGGAACCAUCAAAGGAUGCUAAAAGCAGUGGGUAAAAGUUUGACAGGGAACAGGAUAUCCUCAUAGUCUGAAGGUGACUACCCACUAAUUACUUAGGAAUUAGGUUUAAGGGAAAAUAGGUUUACAAUACAGAAACCUUAACCAAGUAAUCAAAGUAAAAAUCAUCGAUAUUGGGAGUAAAUGGCAUCGUGCGCCUCUCGAUACAUUUGCUGCAGAAGCGACUCACUUCUGAGUUCUUCCUGCCAAAAAUGCACACUCUAAUGGUAAUCACGAGAAAACAUCAGACAAACCCCAACUGAGGGGCAUUCUGUAAAAUAACUGGCCUGUAUGGGCUGGGUGCAAUGGCUCACGCCUGUAAUCCCAGCACUUUGGGAGGCCGAGGGGGGUGGAUCACGAUGUCAGGAGUUUGAGACCAGCCUGACCAACAUGGUGAAACCCCGUCUCUACUAAAAAUACAAAAAUUAGCCGGGCGUGGUGGUGUGCACCUGUAAUCCCAGCUACUCAGGAGGCUGAGGCAGGAGAAUUGCUUGAAUCCAGGAGGCAGAGGUUGCAGUGAGCCAAGAUUGUGCCACGGCACUCCAGCCUGGGCGACAGAGCAAGACUCUGUCUCAAAAUAAA
rnacentral:lncRNA from 1 species